CAUUGGUACUUGGUGAAAAGUAAUCCAAUUAGAGCAUUAGCAUCAGGCGUUCUAUCUCAAAUACCAUUUGCACAGCGCGUGGAUCACCAGGAACUAUAAGGGAUUAUAUGACAAGAUUAAAGUAGUUCCAAUUAACCUUCAAAAUAGGCCUGCUUGGUACAAAGAGGAAGUCUACCC